AUAAAAUAGUAUGUAUUUUUAUGAAGUGUCAUUAUGAAGAGAGCAAUAUUCAUGUAAAAUGCAAUUCUAUUAAUGAUUUAUGCUAACUUUGUAUAAAAAUAGCGUAUCAUCUUUGAGUUUAUCAUUCACAACGCUCCUCUACUUCUGUUUAUGCUGUCUUUCUUUGCAAGUUGAAUCAUACCUUUUUGACCUAAAGCUAAGAUUUAGGUUUUGU
rnacentral:misc_RNA from 1 species